GGGGAUGUAGUUAAUUAUAAUAUUUGAUUUGCAUUCAAAAGGUACCUCAGGGUCUUCCUCA
rnacentral:tRNA from 1 species